rnacentral:tRNA from 1 species
GGUGGUUUAGCUCAGUGGUUAGAGCUUAGGACUUGUGACCGUAAGGUACCGAGUUUGAAUCUCGCCAGAGGCAGAA